GCACGCACCCCACGUCUCCCGGCACGCACGCCCUCACGCAUGACCCCACGUCUCCCGGCACGCACGCCCUCACGCACGACCCCACGUCUCCCGGCCCAGCAGCCCCUGUCUGCGCACGUCCCAUCGGCCGUGGCCUGGUCAGGAGGGGCGCGCGCUAAUCCCAGUGGCAGACAAGCCACACGGACCCCACAGUUUUUUCCAGAACACCUGAGCUAGAACCUGCGCACAUGCAGUGGCAUCAAAUCCAUCGCGCUUUCGCACCGGCAAGAUUAGGGUGGACGCUAGGAUGGCGGGGACCUGCACACGCCGAGGACUGGCUCUGCCGCUUCCACACGACAUCUCCCUCGGCUCGAGACACCAGCAAGCCCGCCCACGCCACACGCCAUCAACGCGGCAGGAGACGGCGGCCUCCUGUGAGCACAGACCCGGCUCCUACUGUCUGGGCCUCUCGCAUACGUGCACAAACCCCGGGCUUUGCACUGCCGGGGAAACCGGCAGUGGAUUUUUAGCGGUGAACUGUGUGUGUUCAUGCUUCACCUCUUUCCUCAGAGGAGAUUAAACAAAUAACUUCCCUUGCGUGAUCUAAGGGCCCUUCCCACCAGCUGCCCGCUGUGCGCGUCCAGGUACUUGCGCCACGUUCGAGUGAGGUGUGGCAGUCUGCAGCAGGGAGUGAGCAAGCCGCUUUAGACACCUGGGCCCUGGGCUCGGGGCCCGGGCACCUGCAGAAUAAAGCAAUGGGUGUCCGUUCA